rnacentral:rRNA from 1 species
ACGCUCGACACCUAUGGGAGGCAGCAGUGAGGGAUAUUGGUCAAUGGGGGAAACCCUGAACCAGCAACGCCGCGUGAGGGAUGACGGUCUUCGGAUUGUAAACCUCUGUCCUCUGUGAAGAUAAUGACGGUAGCAGAGGAGGAAGCUCCGGCUAACUACGUGCAAGCAGCCGCGGUAAUCUGAGCGGGCUGGCAAGGC